rnacentral:rRNA from 1 species
CCCUUAGAUGUUCUGGGCUGCACGCGCGCUACACUGAUGCGCUCAACGAGUUUUAACCUUGCCUGGAAAGGUUGGGUAAUCUUUUUAAAACGCAUCGUGAUGGGGAUAGAUUAUUGCAAUUAUUAAUCUUCAACGAGGAAUUCCUAGUAAGCGCGAGUCAUCAGCUCGUGCUGAUUACGUCCCUGCCCUUUGUACACACCGCCCGUCGCUCCUACUGAUGAAUGGUCCGAUGAGUAUUCCGGAUGGAGACUGAUUUAGGCUUUGCCUUGCAGCUUCUCCAGAAGUUAUCCAAAUCUUAUCAUUUAGAGGAAGGAGAAGUCGUAACA